rnacentral:rRNA from 1 species
GCGUGUGUGAAGAAGGCCUUAUGGUUGUAAAGCACUUUAAGCGAGGAGGAGGCUACUUUAGUUAAUACCUAGAGAUAGUGGACGUUACUCGCAGAAUAAGCACCGGCUAACUCUGUGCCAGCAGCCGCGGUAAUACAGAGGGUGCGAGCGUUAAUCGGAUUUACUGGGCGUAAAGCGUGCGUAGGCGGCUUAUUAAGUCGGAUGUGAAAUCCCCGAGCUUAACUUGGGAAUUGCAUUCGAUACUGGUGAGCUAGAGUAUGGGAGAGGAUGGUAGAAUUCCAGGUGUAGCGGUGAAAUGCGUAGAGAUCUGGAGGAAUACCGAUGGCGAAGGCAGCCAUCUGGCCUAAUACUGACGCUGAGGUACGAAAGCAUGGGGAGCAAACAGGAUUAGAUACCCUGGUAGUCCAUGCCGUAAACGAUGUCUACUAGCCGUUGGGGCCUUUGAGGCUUUAGUGGCGCAGCUAACGCGAUAAGUAGACCGCCUGGGGAGUACGGUCGCAAGACUAAAACUCAAAUGAAUUGACGGGGGCCCGCACAAGCGGUGGAGCAUGUGGUUUAAUUCGAUGCAACGCGAAGAACCUUACCUGGCCUUGACAUACUAGAAACUUUCCAGAGAUGGAUUGGUGCCUUCGGGAAUCUAGAUACAGGUGCUGCAUGGCUGUCGUCAGCUCGUGUCGUGAGAUGUUGGGUUAAGUCCCGC